AUAUAUAUAUGAUGAUGAUGAUAAGUUGGAACCAAUUUGAUAAAUAGGAAGAUUUAAUCCCAAAAUGACUAUGUUGGUGAGGUUGAUGCAGAAAAUUGCCAAGAGCAUUAUUUAUAACUACAAAGAAGAGCAUGCUCAUUAAUUUUUCCUGGAAACAACUACUUUGGUGAGGUUGACGUAGAAAUGCCAAGAUGUUAUUCACAA
rnacentral:lncRNA from 1 species